GGGCAUAAUCUAGGUUUCUGAAGUUUUCGUCCAGGAUAGAAAGCUGGGAUCUGCAGGGUUUCUUUUUCCCCUCUCUUGGUUGCUGUCUUAGGAGUUUUCUGAUGCUUGGAGCUGGUGAUAUUUGGAAGCGCUAUCACCAUCUUAAAAUUUUAGAAAAGGAUGUGGCCAAGACAGUGAAGGCACAAAGAAGAAAUGUGCAGAGAGCCGUGGUCCUGGAGGGUGUUGCCAGGCUGAGAAUCCGUCCUGCCUCUACCCGUCUCUGAAGACUCCAGUAUCAACCAGAUUCUUACUGGGAAGUACCAGCCAGAUAGUGGAAGCCGAAGUACCAGCAUGUGCCUUUUCUACACCAGGGAGUAAUGGCCAGCUGUUGCAAAGAUCCAACACUCUGGAAAAGACCUUGAUGCUGGGAAAGAUUGAGGGCAGGAGGAGAAAGGGGCAACAAAGGAUGAAAUGUUUGGAUGGCAUCCUUGACUCAGUAAACACCAGUUUGAGCAAACUCCAGGAGCUAGUACAGACUGGGAAUCCUGGCAUGUUGCAGUCCAUGUGAUCACAAAGCACCGGACAUGACUGAGCUACUGAACAACAACCCUAACAGAAAAUACGGAGUUAUUUAUGAUAUGUGUUAUGGGUAUGUACAAAUAUUUCAAAAUUAGGAAAUUAUUCAUUCUAUAUUUGAUUCAGACCAGAAUUGCACUUCUUAUGUUUGGACGAUGAUAUGUGAGAAUAAGAGCAAUUCACAGAAAAUCUCCAAUGUCAACUGUACUUAAUCUUGUUACACUAAAAUUUAAUCAAAUAACAAUAUAAGCUAAAUUUUGUUUGCUUCCGUAUGGUAUCUGACAUGGAUACCACGAAGAUAUCAAAUGGACAAACCCUUUCAAGGUAAAAAUAAAAGAAAUAGGAGCUUCUUAGUCAAAACUAAUUUAUACACUAAUGGAAGAUAAGUUUAUGACUUCAUUGAGUUACUUACCAAUUCCUAAAACAAGUCAUUUCAGUAUAUGAAAUGCAUGACUACAUAAGUAAAUACUGGUUUUUAUGGCUCUAUUAGUCAUUUAUUUUUAUGCCUUUGUAUAGUUUAUUGACCUCUUUCUCUAUAU